UUGGUUGGGUUUGUAAAAAUAAUAUUCCGUAGUGAUAAUAUCACGCGUAAAAAGACUUGGUUGGGUUUGUAAAAAUAAUAUUCCGUAGUGAUAAUAUCACGAUCCGAGAAGCUUUGUUAUUACUAGCUCUCCAUAAAAAAAAUUGAAAUAGAAUUUGAAAGAAAUUACAGUGUGGUACAUUGAACUGAAACUCAGUUCCUU